GCUAGUGUGGCAGAGUCUGGCAAAUGCAA
rnacentral:tRNA from 1 species